AGCAGCCGCGGUAAUUCCGGCUCCAAUAGCGUAUAUUAAAGUUGUUGCAGUUAAAAAGCUCGUAGUUGAACUUCGGAAUUUGUUCAUUGGUCAGGCUUAACUGUCUGUACUGGUGUUACGAAUUUCUACCUUCUGAGGAAUCCUCAUGCCAUUAAUUUGGUGCGGGGGGAAUCAGGACUGUUACUUUGAAAAAUUAGAGUGUUUAAAGCAGGCUAACGUCUGAAUACAUUAGCAUGGAAUAAUAAAAUAGGACGGUUUGGUUCUAUUUUGUUGGUUUCUAGGAUCACCGUAAUGAUUAAUAGGGAUAGUUGGGGGCAUUAGUAUUCAAUUGUCAGAGGUGAAAUUCUUGGAUUUAUUGAAGACUAACUACUGCGAAAGCAUUUGCCAAGGAUGUUUUCAUUAAUCAAGAACGAAAGUUAGGGGAUCGAAGACGAUCAGAUACCGUCGUAGUCUUAACCAUAAACUAUGCCGACUAGGGAUCGGAUGAUGUUAAUUUUUUAAUGACUCAUUCGGCGCCUUA
rnacentral:rRNA from 1 species